rnacentral:rRNA from 1 species
AUGAACGCUGGCGGCGUGCCUAAUACAUGCAAGUCGAGCGAACAGAUGAGGAGCUUGCUCCUCUGACGUUAGCGGCGGACGGGUGAGUAACACGUGGAUAACCUACCUAUAAGACUGGGAUAACUUCGGGAAACCGGAGCUAAUACCGGAUAAUAUAUUGAACCGCAUGGUUCAAUAGUGAAAGACGGUUUUGCUGUCACUUAUAGAUGGAUCCGCGCCGCAUUAGCUAGUUGGUAAGGUAACGGCUUACCAAGGCAACGAUGCGUAGCUGACCUGAGAGGGUGAUCGGCCACACUGGAACUGAGACACGGUCCAGACUCCUACGGGAGGCAGCAGUAGGGAAUCUUCCGCAAAGGGCGAAAGCCUGACGGAGCAACGCCGCGUGAGUGAUGAAGGUCUUCGGAUCGUAAAACUCUGUUAUUAGGGAAGAACAAAUGUGUAAGUAACUAUGCACGUCUUGACGGUACCUAAUCAGAAAGCCACGGCUAACUACGUG